UAGGGCUCCUGUCGUUAGACUUAUCUCUUAUCUCCCCAAGACGAACAAAGGCAUGGACGAGGACUUUCUCAUCGUUUCGGGGGAGUGGCACAACGGACUCCAUUGCCCUACCAAGGACGGAACCCCAGAGAAAAAAGGCACUGCCAAAAUACAAAGUUUGGUGAACUUUGAAUUACCAAACCGAGUCCUAAGAUUUGAAAUUUUCUUGCAUAAGGACGGUCAGCUCUAUGCAGUCCACGUGAUCCUAGGCUUCACCCCUAUAUCCAACCACUUCCAAAUAUCCAAGCAUAUGAUCAAGGCCUGAGACUCCCGCCUCGCUUUGGUUGAUGUGGCCAUUGAAGGUUUUAUAGGCAAACCUCCUCUGGAGGGAGCACAGAUAGUCGAGCUCCCUACCUUCAAAGAUCCUGAUCCCAUAAAACUUCUUAUUCUCGAGAAUCCUCAACCUGUCAUAGAAGAGAUCACUUCCUCGGAUGAAGGAGAGGAGACAAUCAGAAGACAUCGUCUUGGAAGAAGACACUGAAAAUCUUGUCCGAGACGGGGAUUUUGAAAUCUUCUACCACACACACGCAUCCGAGGAGGAGGCAAUCAACCCCCAGCUAACUACAACUCUAGUUAGUGAGGACUAAGAGGACACUGAAGUACCAAAAGGCAUGGUGAUAGAGAAAGGCUACCAAACUUGCUUUCUCUACUUGAAUCCCAUGCUGGAACCACAGUUCCCAAGGUUUCAGUUAUUCCUAGGCCUCCAACCCUAAUUAUUCAUGCCCUUGUCCAAAUAGAGAUAGUUGAUAAAAAGUGAAAGAGGGACAGAAGAGGGGGUAGGGGAGUUGUAGAAGAAGGCAAAUUUCAGGAGGAAACUCCCCCAGAGCCUACUAAGGUGGUCAAAAUGACCCGCGCCCAACAAGGAAAAGGUAUGGAAAGCUCAAGCACUGCCUUUGAGCGUAGGUUUAAGGUUCCAGUUUGGAACCCUACCUUUGAUUUGGAUGAUUCGCCUCUUCAGGAGGAUGCUUCCAUCAGCGACUUUGACAGUGGAAGAGCAGGCUACAUAGCCAAUACCGUUGAACAAGCCUUCUUCUCCCAAGGGACAUGGACGAGCUUCGAAAUUUAAAGAAGCACGAGCUUUUCCUGUUCGUGAAGAGGGACUUAGCCUUGGCUACCCAAGCUGCACAUGUAGCGGAGGAGUGGGUUGACCAAGCGUUCAGGGAUGUGAAGAAGGAGGAAUUUAAGUGCUUGGCUGCACAAAAAUCUCAAGCUAUGACAGAUAAAAGCUAAAAGAGACCCUUCUCAAGCUGGUGGAGUGUGAUAAGGCCAGGAAGAGUGCCGAGGCUUCUAUUGAAAACUCAGAGAGGCAAGCUUAGGAGUAGCUUAUGUAGUUGAGGGAAGCUGAGAGUCAACUCUCUAUCACUCGGACGACCAUCACCGAGCUGAAAAAGGAACUUGGCAAGAAGGACAAGGAGAUGGACAGGGUCGAGCAAACUGCAUAUGACCAAGGGCAAAAUGAGACUGCGGCCCACCUCAAGUCCUAACUCCCCAUUGUGUGCCACAGCUUUUGCCUCCAGACUUGGAUUGAGGCUCUAAACGCUGCUGGAGUAGAUCCCAACUUUGAGUUGAGGAACCUCGUGAGGGCCUUUUACCCUCUAGCUAUUAGAGCUCGUCCUGUCAGCCAGCCUUUUGUCAGCACCUCUGCCUCAACUCCUAGGGGUUCCAUUAAGAACCCUCAGGCCAAGUCCAACAUUGCUACUCCCACCCAAACCAAGUCUACUGAGCAGCAACUCAAAACCACUGCUUCUACUAAGGCCAAAUCCACUGAGCUAUAGCCCCUCACCACUGCACCUGCAAAGCCCAAGCAGAUCGAGCUAGCCACUUCCAAGCCCAGUACUGCCACUGCCCACAGCAUUGAGCAGAAGAUCUCUCCAAGAGCGCCCCACCGACCACAGUGGCUCCUCCUGCCCCAAUUUCAGUUCCUGAAGUGCAACCUAGUACAGGGCCAAAGGCACAUAAGACUUCCUAAGCUAAAAGUAUGUGCAGUGGAUUCCCAUGCUAUUUUGUUAUUUUUAUAGUUGUUUGUUAGUUUUAUAUAUAUAUAUAUAUAUAUAUAUAUAUAUAUAUAUAUUUAUAUUUAUAUUAAACAGAAGGCAUUUCGUUCUUACUUCCCUUCCUUGUCCUAUGUAUCUUUUGAAGCUUGGAUUAAUGGGAAACUCUUAUUGGCUUU